rnacentral:rRNA from 1 species
AACGAACGCUGGCGGCAGGCUUAACACAUGCAAGUCGAACGCUCCGCAAGGGGAGUGGCAGACGGGUGAGUAACGCGUGGGAACGUGCCCUAAGGUACGGAAUAACUUCGGGAAACUGAAGCUAACACCGUAUGUGACCGAGAGGUGAAAGUUUAUCGCCUUAGGAUCGGCCCGCGUCAGAUUAGCUAGUUGGUGGGGUAAUGGCCUACCAAGGCGACGAUCUGUAGCUGUUCUGAGAGGAAGAUCAGCCACACUGGGACUGAGACACGGCCCAGACUCCUACGGGAGGCAGCAGUGGGGAAUCUUGGACAAUGGGCGCAAGCCUGAUCCAGCCAUGCCGCGUGGAUGAUGAAGGCCUUAGGGUUGUAAAAUCCUUUCGCCGAGGACGAUAAUGACGGUACUCGGAGAAGAAGCUCCGGCUAACUUCGUGCCAGCCGCCGCCGCAGUAA